UACGUAGGGGGCAAGCGUUGUCCGGAAUCAUUGGGCGUAAAGAGCGUGUAGGCGGCUCGAUAAGUCUGCUGUGAAAGUCCAGGGCUCAACCCUGGAAGGCCGGUGGAAACUGUCGGGCUAGAGUCCGGAAGAGGCGAGUGGAAUUCCCGGUGUAGCGGUGAAAUGCGCAGAUAUCAGGAGGAACACCGGUGGUGUAGACGGCUUUCUGGACCGUAACUGACGCUGAGACACGAAAGCGUGGGUAGCAAACAGG
rnacentral:rRNA from 1 species